rnacentral:rRNA from 1 species
UACGUAGGGCGCAAGCGUUGUCCGGAAUUAUUGGGCGUAAAGAGCUCGUAGGCGGCUUGUCACGUCGGGUGUGAAAGCCCGGGGCUUAACCCCGGGUCUGCAUUCGAUACGGGCUAGCUAGAGUGUGGUAGGGGGGAUCGGAAUUCCUGGUGUAGCGGUGAAAUGCGCAGAUAUCAGGAGGAACACCGGUGGCGAAGGCGGAUCUCUGGGCCAUUACUGACGCUGAGGAGCGAAAGCGUGGGGAGCAAACAGG